rnacentral:rRNA from 1 species
UAAUACGUAGGGUGCAAGCGUUAAUCGGAAUUACUGGGCGUAAAGCGUGCGCAGGCGGUUCGGAAAGAGAGGUGUGAAAUCCCAGGGCUCAACCUUGGAACUGCACUUUUAACUACCGAGCUAGAGUAUGUCAGAGGGGGGUGGAAUUCCGCGUGUAGCAGUGAAAUGCGUAGAUAUGCGGAGGAACACCGAUGGCGAAGGCAGCCCCCUGGGAUAAUACUGACGCUCAUGCACGAAAGCGUGGGGAGCAAACAGG